rnacentral:lncRNA from 1 species
GAUCUGCUGCGUGCGAUCUGCUGCGCACAGCGUACGCUAAUUACGUCGCCCGACCGGCCCAAAGGCCAAAACACUCGAGUACCUCCUGCAGUCCCGUACGUGUACGUGACACCUGGGUAGGCCUGCACCUGGGGUGGGGCUCCUGGGAUUUGGGGGCCCAGGGCAGCCACCCCCCUGCCCCCCCCCCAAGGGCCGGCCCUGCUCCACAUCACAGCCUGCAAGUCGCCCUGCGGCGAAGGUACUGCCCUUUGCUAAUUCGGUUGUUGUGUAGUUUCCCUGAUUACAACUAUGAACUAGCGACCUUAACUGGUGUGGAAUGGGCUAAUUAGUGAGGAGAUGUGUGCGGGUUCCUUUGUCAUACCUUUUUGAUGCUAGUAUAUGCUGCUUCCAUAAUUAUCUGGUUUCGGAUUAGAUAGGGUGCUUGCUGCAAGUAUGUUUAUUUGACCUUGUAAUUUGCUUAUGUAUUGCUUGUUGUUUACUGCUAACUGAGAUAUCAG